rnacentral:tRNA from 1 species
GCUUUCGUGGUGUAGUGGUCAGCACGCUCGACGCGUAACCGAAAGGUCCGUGGUUCGAUUCCCGGCGAAGGCG